rnacentral:lncRNA from 1 species
UCAAGCAUGGAGAGGGGAAAGGGUGGUGGCAGAACCCAGAUUCAUGACUUGAAAGUAUGUCAGACUUUAAAAGGCUCAGAAUUAGAGUUUCCUGGGACUGUCAGUAGGGGGUGGAAGGGCGGGGGUGCAGCAGGCUAGGUUGAGCUGCCAAUUUAGUGGGAUGGAGAAGAGAGUUUGGGAAUAUUUUUGAAAAUAUUUUUGGGUUGAAGCAAUCUGGAGAAAUUCAGGGAAAAAGAAGUUGUUUUUCUCUUAAAUUUUUAGUU